CAGCUUGAUCCAAUACCGGUGAAGGCUUUUCAUCGUCCUCUGUACAUCCCUAAGAAUCACCGGUGAAGGCAGCCUGUUAACAUCCAGAAUGGGCCUGAACUUUACAGUCAAAAUAUCUCUAUCGUUGAGAUUCAAGAGCAUCCACAACACGUAAUGGAUGACUGGAUUGAUCUCUUGCAGAUGUAUAUACAAGAUGGACAUGAUUCUUAUAUCCGGUUAAUUAAUGGCAUGUUCGGCCGAAAGAUGGUGUACACCUACACGCGGAAGAGACACGGCGAUACUAAUCCUUUCCUUGGUUGAUUUUCAUGGUACAAAUAUGCAGCUGCACCAGCAAAAAAGAUCACCAGCCGGCCAAAGAAAAACAGCAGACCUAUUUUUUCCGCCGUCUCUGCUUUAUUGGUUGGUGCCUCGGGCCGCUGAUAUCGCAAGCCGGCCACACAAAGGCAGCAGACAAUGGUUGAUGGAUUACAGAUACUCACCAGCAUGAUGCGUUAGAAGGCGCAGCAGGGCAGGGCAGGGCCUCCACAGAAGAGGUACGCUGAUUUCACAUGCCGAAUUUGUGUCGAUCUCCUACCCAAGCUUAUUUUCUAAAAAGAAGUUCCACUGUCUCUUAGUUUGCAAAAGAGCUCAACAUCAUACUUUCGGGAUCAAAUAACGUCAAGAUUACAUAAAUUGUUUGUCAUACUGAUAAGGUUCAAAUCGGAGAAGCUCUAGGAGCUGGAGCAUCGCUCGCCGAGAUGUAUGUCGGCAUGUUUUUUUUCGGGCAUUGUCUUUUGCUGAAAUGUAUGUCGGCAAUGUUGAGGUAGGUUGUGCAAGGUUGGAGCAUCCGAUCUUCUUUUUCUCAAUUUGUUUCGUAAUGUAUGAGCCUAACCCAAAUAUUGCAUCCAGUCUUGCAGCUAAGAGUUGCCUUGAUUCUAUAA